UACGUAGGGGGCAAGCGUUGUCCGGAUUUAUUGGGCGUAAAGAGCGUGUAGGCGGCCAGGUAGGUCCGUUGUGAAAACUCGAGGCUCAACCUCGAGACGCCGAUGGAAACCAUCUGGCUAGAGUCCGGAAGAGGAGAGUGGAAUUCCCGGUGUAGCGGUGAAAUGCGCAGAUAUCGGGAGGAACACCUAUUGCGAAGGCAGCUCGCUGGGACGUUACCGACGCUGAGACGCGAAAGCGUGGGGAGCAAACAGG
rnacentral:rRNA from 1 species